CUUGCGCGGGUAGAUGAUCACCGCAAAUCUGAAUUCGUGGUUUUGGAAGAGAGUUCGCUUGAAGCCGUUCAAACGUCCGGCCUCUACGGGUAUCCACACGAAGCAGGAUCCGAUCCAAGCUCUCUAUCUCACCGGGGUGCUAGCUCCCUUGCAGAGAUAGCUUUGAUGGCUGAUGUCCUCCUUCUCAAUCAACUCUUGAUUGUGCUUAGAAGGAGGAAGAAGAAGGAUGAAGAAGAGGAAGAAGAUGAUCCCCUACGCAGCCUUCUUUUGUUCCUUG
rnacentral:lncRNA from 1 species